rnacentral:rRNA from 1 species
AGUGAACGCUGGCGGUAGGCCUAACACAUGCAAGUCGAACGGCAGCACAGUAAGAGCUUGCUCUUACGGGUGGCGAGUGGCAGACGGGUGAGGAAUACAUCGGAAUCUACUUUUUCGUGGGGGAUAACGUAGGGAAACUUACGCUAAUACCGCAUACGACCUACGGGUGAAAGCAGGGGAUCUUCGGACCUUGCGCGAUUGAAUGAGCCGAUGUCGGAUUAGCUAGUUGGCGGGGUAAAGGCCCACCAAGGCGACGAUCCGUAGCUGGUCUGAGAGGAUGGUCAGCCACACUGGAACUGAGACACGGUCCAGACUCCUACGGGAGGCAGCAGUGGGGAAUAUUGGACAAUGGGCGCAAGCCUGAUCCAGCCAUACCGCGUGGGUGAAGAAGGCCUUCGGGUUGUAAAGCCCUUUUGUUGGGAAAGAAAAGCAGCAGGUUAAUACCCCGCUGUUCUGACGGUACCCAAAGAAUAAGCACCGGCUAACUUCGUG